AAGACAAGCAGGCCUAUUACAAGCAAAAGCUUCAAAGAUGCAGAGAGUCCACCUUUAACAUGAGUUUCAUGAGUUCCUUUAGCAACCCCAUCUUUGCAAGGCCCCAAAUAAUGACCACACAGCUCAGGGUUCCCCAAAAAUGAGGUGUAGUUGAAGUAACUAAACUGACCACUGCCAGGAACCAAACCGGAGAGAUUGUUAUACGAGAAAUCGACGGAAGUUAAGCUUUGCAUAGUGGAUAUUGAAGAAGGGAUACUACCCAGGAGAUGAUUUCUCGACAGAUUCAGGUAGUUUAAUAUCCUCAUACUUGUGAUCUCAGUCGGAAUUUGACCGGAAAGCUCGUUUCGACUAAGAUCAACAAAGGUUAACAGCUUGCAUUUGCAAAUUUCUGGUGGGAUCAAUCCUGAAAACUUGUUAUGACUGAAAUCAAUCUUUGAAAGUUGCUGCAACUUUCCAAUCUCAGCUGGGAUUGGACCCGAAAACUUGUUGCCAUCGAGAAGAAGCUUUUGAACACCGGAAAAGUUACCGACGCUAGCCGGUAAAGCCCCAGAAAGUUGGUUGUUGGAUAAGCUGAUUUGGCCGAGAUUCACGGAAAUGGAAGAAUCAGUGACCGGGAACUCCCCUGUUAGAUAGUUAUCCUGUAACUCAACUUGUGUAAGCUGUGGUAAUCCCAAAAGGCCUUUAGGGAUGGACCCGUUGAGAUAAUUUUCACCCAUACGAAUCCGACUGAGUGACUCACAUUUCCCCAGCGAUUCUGGGAUUGGACCAAGCAAGAAGUUACCCAAAGUAAUCAACGUUUGCAACGUGUUGCCUGAGCACAUGUCCGGCGGCAAAGUCCCCGUUAACUUGUUCGACGAAAGAUCUAGAACUUGAAGCUUUUUGUUACUGCCCAACUUCUGAGGAAUGCUUCCGGUGAAGUUAUUUUCCCACAGCUGUAAGACCUCCAACUCAGGCAACUCACCAAUGAAGUCAGGAAUCUGUCCGUGGAGCUUGUUUCUGAAAAGAUUGAGAAGAGUCAAGUUUUUGAGCUGAGCGAAACUCGCCGGAAUCUCACCGGUAAACAUAUUGUUCGAUAAAUCCAUGGAUUUCAAGCUGUUUAAGGUUCCCAGCUCGGGAGUUAAGGAGCCAGACAGUGCAUUCACCUGGAGGAACAACGUGUGGAGCCUCUGCAACUUACCGACCUCCGGGGGUAUUUCACCGGAUAACAUGCAGUUAGCGGCGUCAAAAAGAACGAGUUCCGACAAGUUCCCGAUCUCCGGCGGCAAACCACCUUCGAAACUAUUGAAGUAACCAAUGUACAACUGCUUCAGCUUCGUUAAGUUUCCAAUUUCGGGUGGGAUUUUACCGCUGAGUUCGUUACCCGAAACGGCUAAAUAUUCAAGAUGCUCCCAACGGCCGUAACUUGACGGGAUCUGACCGCUGAAAUAGUUCCCUCCCAAAUGCAAGUGACGCAAAUUGGGAAGCUCCGUGACGGAAACCGGCAACUCCCCCGUCAUGUUAUUGUUGUAUAAAUCGAGUAUCUGAAGAUUUUUCAGCUGGGAAAGCUGGGUAGGAAAGGAACCAUUGAAAACAUUGUUGGAAAGGUUUAGGUAACGGAGAUUGGAUAGGACGGCGAGCUCCGUCGGGAUAGGACCGGAGAGAUCGUUGGCGGCGACGGAGAGGUUUUGGAGGAAACGGAGGUGGGCAAGCGAGGGGGAAAGAGUUCCGGACAGAGUGAAGUUAGUUAAAUCGAUGGAUGUCACGUGACGACCGGUUAAAUCGCACGCGACUCCGGCGAAUGAACAAAGGGGAGUGUUUGCAUUCCAGUUUGAGAGGUAAGAUUGAGGGUCGUCGGUAAUGGAGGAUUUAACAGCGAUAAGUGCGCUAAGCUCCGUAACGGCUCUUGCGGCGGCGCCGGCGGCAUAGGAGUGGGAAAUGUGAAGAAGGAGGAAGAGGAGGAGGAGGAGUAACCUCAUUUUCGCUGUGAUGGAAAUUGGGAGGGAAGGGAAAGUGUAAACGGAAAUGGAAAAGAAAGUGAAUAAAAAGAGUGAAGCAAGUAAGCAGAGAUGUCAUUUUAUUAUGUUUUUUUAAAAAAAGUAUUAUCUUUAUUUAUAAUUAUAAUUUAAUGGUAUAUCUGUAUUUUUUAACAAUCAUUGGACAAAUUUCAUUAUUCCAAAAAGAUUUAAUUUAUAAAAUGUUAAAAAUUUUAAAAAUAAUUAAAUUAAAUUACUAGACAUAAAAGUAAAAGGACUGAAUUCUAAAUAUACGAAGAAUACGUGGAGUUGAAGCAUAUUUUAACCUUUAUAAUUAGACCCUUUUUUUGUUCCAUUUAGAAGAAGAGUGAAGAUGGCAAAUGUGAAAAGGUAAAGCAUGAUUGAAGGAGAAUUUUGGUUUGAUGGUACUAAAUCUAAGCAAAGCUAAAAUUUCCAAACUUGUUGAAAUUAUUCCAAUUAUUUGACCCAAAAUAGAAUCAAAAAAAUUAUUAAUAGCACUCUUUUUACUAUUUUAGUCAGCCAGCCAGCUAUCAAAGUUCAAAUCAUUAAACACAAGAAAAAAAGGAGAGCAAAUAUUAGAACAAUGAGGCUUAAGCCAAAGUUGGUAAAAGGAAAUUAGGUACAAGUUUGAAUAUACAAUUUAUUUAAUAAAAUAAAUAAAUUGGUGACCAAAACUUGAGAAAUUAAAGGUAGAGGGGGUGGGAUUUUAUAAGGGUUUAUAAAUCAACUUAAAUUUGAAAAAGUUUAUUUGGUCACCCAUUUAUUAUUUUUAUUAUUAUUGAUGUGAUUGAGUAGUUUAUAUGGUUAUAAAUAGUGUUUCACACCAAUAAAUGAAUUAUAUUUUGGUUGGAAAAAUUGAAUCGAUUGAAUUUUGAUUUAAUUGUUGUGAAGAUGCAGUAAUAAUUACUAAAAUGUUGUAAGUAAUAAUUAAUAAAUGAUUCGAUUUUUUAUGUGUCAAAACAAUUGAUUCUUAGUUCAAUUGGUUCAAUAUCAAAAAAUUGUUGAUGUUUUAUAAAGACUUAAUUGUACUAACCAUCCCUAAAUCAUUAUUCUUAUUCUAAAUUUAUCCUUAAACUUUAAACCAUUCUGAUUCUCGAUAUUAUAUCAAUAAGGUCCUUCUGCUAUUAAAAUCGUUAAUUUAACCGUUAAAUGAGAUGUUAAAUCUUAUGUGAAACAUGAAUAUUGAAAAAGUUUUCAAAGUUUUUACAGAAAUUAUCAUUCACUCUAUUUUUUCAAUUUUACUUUAUUUUUAGUUUUUAAUUAAAAGUUAUACGAUAACAUUUUACCUUUCUUUAAAACUUUCAUUUUCAAAUAUGUCACAUAAGCUUUCACAUGUCAUUUAAAGUUAAAUUAAUAGUUUCAAUAAUGGAAGGACCUAAUAACAUUGAUAGUUCAGGAUAUAAUUAGAACAUUUUGAAGUUUGGGGAUUAAUUUAGAACGAAUGUCAUAGUUUGGGGAUGUUUAGUGCAAUUAAUCAUGAGAUGAGGUGUGGUGAUUGCUUACCUAAUUCCUUAACUAUGAAGUCGGGAGUUCGAUCUUUGUCUAUGAGAAUAGAACACAUUUCAUGGCCAAUCAUUUAACUCUUCAAAAACCACCCAUGACGAGGGGAUCAAUCACUUCUACCAACUAUAAAUACCCUGAUUUCGAAAAAUUUUAUGAAAAAUAGAAUUAUGAUUAGGGGUGUUCAUUCGGUUAACCGACCGGUUAACCGACCCGAAAUUACUAUAACCGAAUUAACCGACCUUCCAAAAAUUUUAACCGUUAACCGAACCGAUUUUUUUUAAAAAAAUUUAACCGAACCGAAAUUUUUUCGGUUAAUAAGGUCGGUUAACCAAAUUAACCGAAAAUUAUGUAUUUUUUAUUUUUGGUUAAAAAUUACCCGAAUUACCCGAAUUACCCGAAUUACCCGAAUUAACCGAAUUAACCGAAUUACCAUAAAAUACCCGAAUUACCCGAAUUUUUUUAUUUUUUAUUUUUAAAAUUUAAAAAAGUUAUAAAUUAUUAAAGUAAAUUGGGUUUUAGACUUUAGUAAAUUGGGUUGUCUUUUAGUUUUAGUUUUAUUGGAUUGGGUAAUUGGGUAAACUUUAGUUUUAGUUUUAUUGGGUUGGGUAAUUGAGUUUGGGUUGGGUUGGAUAAUUUUAUUUAUUAAUUUUUCGGUUAACCGAAAAUUUUCGGUUAACCGACCGGUUUCAAACCGAAUUAACCGUUAACCGAAAAAUCAUAAAAAAAUUAACCGACCCCCGACCGAAAAAAUUCGGUUAACCGACCGAUUAACCGAAUUCGGUCGGUUAACCGAAUUUUUUCGGUUUUACCCGAAUUAUGCACACCUCUAAUUAUGAUGGUAGCAGCAUUGAUGGUAAGGAAGAUGUUGGCAAUUAUGGGAAGACUGAUUUUUGUAUUUUCUUUGGAAAAGGCAGAAAUAUAUGUAGAGCAGUUGUGGAGGUUGACCCUUUUACAAUUAUUAGGGCAUUUAUGGUUCUAUUAAUUUCAUAAACCAAAGUAAACUUUCUUUUAUUCUCACAUGUCAUCACAUAUUAAAUAUUAUCUCAUUCUUUUAUUUUUUUAAACAUAAAAAUAUCUAAUUAUUAACUUCUAAUUUCAAGAUUAAUACAAAAAUGCAUGAAAUUAGUGUUAUUAAAAUUAAACCAAUUGGUUGAAUGAAACUCAAUUGGAAAAUUAACAAAAUCCCAUUGAAAUAAAUAGAAAUACAAAAAAUCGAAAUCGAUUAUAAUGUUUUGGAUUUAUUCUAUUUUUCAUACAAAAUCUUUGAAUUUUAACCACGGCUCUAACCAAUUCUUGACUUUCUUUUAAUUUAAUGAUACAUUGAAAUUGAACUCAUUUUAUGUUAAUAUUUUUUCCAGAUUUUUCCUAAUUUUUAAUAAUAUUUCCCAUUUUUUAAAUUUAGCAUAUUUAAAAACAACAAUAAAAAUUUAGAGUUGUGAGCAUAACAAAAAUCAUACUAUCUAAAAAUCAAAUUUUGGUGAUUGUGGUCUCAAUGACUUGGGUUUUAUUGGAAGGUGGUUCACUUGGGAAAGAGGUAGAUUUGCUGCUACGAUCAUUCGUGAACGUCUGGAUCGGGGAGUUGCUACGUUGGGUUGGGUUAGUAUUUUCCCAUAUUACCAACUUGAACACUUGUGUCACUCCUUUUCAGACCAUUGCCCUAUUCUUCUUGACACUAUAAGAGCGAGGUGGGAAGUCCGGAGGAGAAGUAACGAAGCUAAGCCCUUUUGAUUUGAAGCUAAGUGGUGCUUGGAUAGUUCUUUUGAGGGAAGGGUUCGAAGAUGGUGGGAGGAUACAUCUAGUUGUGUCCCGAAUAAGUUGGAGAGAAUUGGCCUCCAAAUGCAAAAGUGGAGUAAGUUAAAGGAUAGAGAAGAGAAGAAGACUCGUGUGGAUUUAGAAGAAAAACUGAACAGUCUUUAUCAUCGGGAAGUUUCUUACGAGACCCUUGAGGAAAUUAUGGAGGUUCAGCUAGGGCUUAAUUUGGAAGCGGACAAAGACGAAAUAUAUUGGGAGCAAAGAGCCAGUGUCAACUGGUUGAAGAAUGGUGACCGAAAUACCAAGUACUUCCAUUCGGUUGCGGUACAAUGCCACCUCCGUGGUAGAAUUUCUGCAUUAGAAGACGAGAAUGGCAGCCGAGCUUAUUCUACUUCUGAGUUUAUCGAGAUAGCUUCAGACUUUUUUGGUAAGCUGUUUUCUGCAUCAGAAAUGGGACCGGAUGAGCAUCUUUUUGGACUAGUACAGAAGCGGGUUACCGAUAGCAUGAAUGCUAGAUUGUUACAACAAUUCACUGAGUCGGAUGUUGCUAAUGUCAUUCAGUCAAUGCUCCGUUGAAAGCCCUUGGGGUUGAUGGGUUUCCAGUUAUCUUUUUUCAACGAUACUGGCAUAUUAUUGGUAAAGAGAUUUCAAAGUAUUGUUUAUCUAUAUUGCAUGGUCAGACUGAAAUUGGUGAUAUUAAUAAAAUGCGUAUUAUAUUGAUUCCCAAAGUGGAUAAGCCUAUGAAUAUGUCUCAAUUUAGGCCUAUAAGCCUUUGUACCGUUAUCUACAAAAUUGUGGCGAAGGUCUUGGUGGUUCGGAUGAGCGAUACUUUGGGGAACUGUAUCAAUAAAGCUCAAUGAGCUUUCAUUCCUGGAAGACUUAUAUCGGAUAACGUGUUGAUCGCGUAUGAAAUCCUUCAUUCAUUCAAAAUGAAGAGAAGAGGUAAGAAGGGGAACUUUGCACUUAAGCUUGAUAUGAGUAAAGCCUACGAUCGUGUUGAAUGGGAUUUUUUGGCUGGAAUGAUGAAGCACCUAGGCUUUCAUGUUGAUUGGAUUGUGCUUGUUAUGAGGUGUGUUUGUUCUGUCUCUUACUCAGUUAGUCUCAAUGGAGUAAACAGUGACUGGUUUUUCCCCUCAAGAGGGCUACGACAGGGUGACCCUCUUAGUCCAUACCUUUUUCUGAUUUGUGCCGAGGGAUUUUCCACGCUUUUACAGGAAGCGAAAUGAAUGGGUCGAAUGAUGGGUGCAUCUGUUGGUAGGGAGCUGUUGACCCUCAAUCAUCUGUUUUUUACAGAUGACUGCAUCCUCUUUGGAGAUGCCUCGUAUAGUGGGACAAGAGUGGUUCGGGAUAUAAUAAAGGAGUAUGAAGUGGUUUCAGGACAGUGAGUAAACCUUGAUAAGUCUCUUAUUUAUUUUUGGGCAAAUGUAAACUCUGAUGUAAGGAUGGCUAUUGUUAACCAGUUAGGAGUUCGGGAGGCUGAGAAUCCGGAGAAGUAUUUGGGCUUGCCUAUGAUGGUAGGCCGAAAGAAAAUGUGGGCUUUUGCUAAUUUAGAGGAUUGACUCAGAAAACGUGUAGAAGGUUGGAGGUUAUGCUAUUUGUCUAUGGGAGAGAAAGAGGUGUUCAUUAAACCGGUACUUCAAGCUACCCCAAUUUAUGCUAUGCAAUGCUUCUUAUUGCCCAAAUCGUUGUGCCGUAAGCUUGAAGGAAUUAUGAACAGAUUUUGGUGGACAAAUAAUAAGUCAUCGAAAGGUAUACACUGGAGCAGUUGGGAGAUGCUUUGCAAACCGAAGUGCUUUGGGGGGUUAGGUUUGAAAAAUUUGUUCUUGUUUAAUAAAGCCCUAUUAGCUAAACAGGUUUGGCGUAUUUUUGAUCAACCUCACUGUUUGUUAGCCAAAGUUUUUAAAGCCUGGUAUUUCCCUUCUUCUGAUAUUUUUCAGCGAAAAUUGGAUCUUACCCCUCGUUUACCUGGAGAAGUCUCUGUAAUGUUCGUGAGGUAGUCAGGGAAGGGGUGCUGUGGCGGGUUGGAAAGGGUGAUUGCAUCAAUAUCUUGAAUGAUCCCUGGUUACCUGGAAGAGAGAACAAUCGAAUUUCAAUGCAGAUGAUCAGGCCUAAUUGGACUACUGUUAAUCAGCUAAUCAACAAUGAUACCAAUACCUGGGAUAGAGAGCUGGUUUAUGAUCUGGUGGAUGAGAGUACAGCGGAACGUAUCUUCACUAUCCCCAUCUCUGGAUGCGGUCAGGAGGAUCGGUUGGUUUGGAAAAAUGAGGGGCCUGGGGAAUACUCUGUUAAGAGUGGAUAUCAGGCUCUUAAUUCUGACUACUUACGUGAUCCUAAGUACAAAUCGUCUUGUGGUGAGGAAUACAAAGUAUUUUACACUGCAUUAUGGUCUUUAAACAUCCCAGGGAAAAUUAAAAUACAUAUUUGGAGGUUGGUGAAUAAUUUGGUGCCUCAUUUUAGUAACUUAGCAAUGAGGUCCUUGUGUGCAGUAGCUUUGUGCCCGCUGUGUAAGGAAGAGCCGGAGAACUCUGAUCACUUGUUGUGGUCUCUCCGUUUUGUCAAAAUGUUUUCUGUAGCUGAGAAACAACAAAAACAAUUAAUUGCGAUUUCCAUUUGGAGUCUUUGGUUCUAUAGAAACAAACUUAUCCAUGAAGGGGUUAUUUUUUGUUGCAAGAGGCUUUAGGGUUUAUUCAGGGAUAUGUGCACAACAAUCGGAUUUCUUUGAUAUCUCUCUGUUCCUAUCCUAGAUCACUGACUAAGGAGAUAUGGAGACCACCAGAACUGGGUGUUACUAAGUUAAACUUCGAUGCGUCUUAUCUAAAUAAGGAAAUGCUUGCUGUUACAGCUGUCCUAGCCAGAAAUUCUCAGGGUGAGAUUAUAGGGGCAAAAACUUAUCUCUUCUCUAAUGUUGCUGAUGCGUUUGUGGCUGAAGCAAGGGCUUGCGAAAAGGAGUUAAUCUUCGUGAAGAGGAUGCUUUUCCGAUGACUGAUUGUGGAAGGUGAUUUGCGGACAAUUAUCAUUAAUGUUCAAAGGAAGGAGAAGGAUAAAUCGGUGCUCAGACCGAUUACACAUCAUAUAUACAUGUUGGGUAUGGCUUUUGAGGAGGUUUCUUACCUUGCAGUGCCUCGAUCGAUUAAUGAAGCAGCUCAUUUAUUGGCACUGGAGGGUCGAAGACGAAAGUUCUUUGGAGAUUGGCUCACCGGAGUGCCUGAUUCUGUCCGUUUUGCGGCUUUACAAGAUCGCGUGGCUUGGGACCGACGGAACUGAGUUCAUCUUGUUGUGCUUUGAAAAUGGAGGAGGAUCUUUUUUAGGGCUCGUUCUCUUUUCUUUCUUGUUCCAGAUGCUGAUGGUGAGGAGAGCUAUGGCUAAUAUUGAGGGUAGGUCAGUGGUUUCUUGGCUUAAGCGUUGGCUUCUGAUGGGUUGGUUCGAUAGUUCCUAGGCAUUUUGUUUCUUUAUUUCUGCACUGUUUCUUUAUUUCUUUGUUGGUGCUUGCCAACUGUCCCGUUUGUCGAUUCUGUUUUCUUUUCUUUUGACGUUUCAGAAGUAGUUGUCUUGAGCUAUUCUUUUAUAUAAUAUCAGUCUAUUUUAUUCAAAAAAAAUAAAAUUUUGGUAAAAAAAAACUUUUGAUUUAAAAAAUAUAUAUUAUGCGUGAGAGGCUCAAUGCAACUUGAUCUAUUGUCAAGGUUCUGCAUCAAUGGUAAUAGAAAAUCAGAUUAAAUUAUCAAAUAAAGCUAUUUUUUUAAAUUACGAAAAUAUGUCGAAUUUUUGAAAAAUUACUGGAAUGGGUCGUUUUUGAUAAAACGCUUCUAGUUGGAGUCGUUUUCAAGGAAAACUCAAACAAACACUUCUAGGUGGAAAAUAUUAAUAAAAAAUAGAAUUCGAGAAAUUUAAGAGAGAAAUGUGAGAAAUUGGCAAGUGUGGGGUUUAUAGCUUGUUUUUACCCUGGGGGGGCAACGACUUUUUAAAUAGUCAUUGGAAGUGACCGUCGGGGGGAAACGCGUUGAGCUAGACGCGUUUUUCAUUAACACUUCCAGCUGGAAGCGUUUUACUGGUUAGAGGGGAAAAGUGCUUUCAGCUAGAAGUGUUUUAUAAAAAACAACUCAUUCCCGUAAUUUUUAAAAAAUCAACCUAUUUCAGUAAUUUUAAAAAAUAAUUUUAUUUAAUAAUUUAGUCUAAAAAUCAUAUGGAUUAAUGAUAUAACUAAUGGAAGGAAACGAUAACAUUAUUUACUUAUAUUAUAUUUGGACCGUAUCUAUAUGAACCUUAUAUAGAAAUAUAAUAAUGAUUAUAACACAUCAUAAAUCAUCAUUUAUUGUAACACCCCUUACCCGUAUUCCUUAACGAAACAGAGUAUGAUGUAUUACUAUUUUUUUUUUAAAAAUUUCGAUACCAUUUCUGCUUGUUUUUACAUACAACCCCCUGUAAGUUUUCAAUCACACUUUCAAACAGAUCCAAUAAUCCAAUCAAAAACAAUUGUAUGAUCAAACACAAUUUAUUUAAUAAUGAAUACCAACAUUUUAAACCGAAACAUAUAUAUAUUAGUUUACGCCACGAUACAUAAAGUCGUCUAUACAUGCCAUGUUUCUAAAAUAUGAGUUGCAAAAUACCCAAGCGUUGAUGAUAGUGUGGAUUAUUAUCUGACUCCGCCGUUGAUUGAUGUCACUAUAAUCAAGGGGAAAAUAAAAACGAGUAAGCAUAUAGCUUAGUAAGUAAACAUAUGACAGAGAAAUAAAUUUUUCACAUGAUUACACCAUAGUAUAAUUUUAAUCACAAAUAAAUUUCAUAAUUUGUUCAAUUUCCAGCAAGCUGUUUUUUUUUCUGCAUCAUAGUCACUAAUUUAUUUUUAUCUAGAGCUACAGGGCUCCAAAUUGAACUCUGUAAAUUUUCCCCGAAACUAGAUUCAUAUAAAUUUCCACCAUAAAAUUUUCAGAAUUUUUGGUUUGGCCAAUCAGUACAGUUUAUUCUUUAAACUUCCCCUGUUUCACUGCCCGAUAGUCCUGACCUCUCCUUACUAAAAUUCACUUAACUCCCUGUACAAAAUUCAAAUAAUGUUCUCGUUUGUUUCUAUUAGAAAUAGACUCAUUAAGGAAUCCAAGCAUAUAAAUUUCAAACCAUAAUUAUUUUUUUAAAAUUUUUUGGUGAUUUUCCAAAGUUGGAACAGGGGAUUUCGAAAUCAAUCUAGCAUUGUCUCAAAUAAAUUCAAAUAUCCCAAAAUAUACAACUCUUUUGCUUGCUCUGUUUCUUUCAUAUGAAAAUAGACUCACUCAGAUUUAAUUUCAUAUUUUAUUCAACCUCCAAUUCAUUUUCCACCAUUUAUGGUGAUUUGUCAAAGUUGCCCAACUGCCGUUGUUCAAAAUAGUUUUAUAUUUAAUUUGCUCUUUUGUAGUUUUUGAUACUUCCUCUUACCUUAUACAUGGGUUGACUAUGUAUCAAACCCAAUAUUCCUCCCAUAAAUUUGUCCACCAUACAUAAAUAUUCACCUUUCCAAUUUCCUCGUUGAACACUCGGAAUGUCAACCGUUAUCGGUGGAUUCAGCACUUAGCAACCCCUUUCACAUUCAAAGAUAUGGUGGAAUCAGCACUUAGCAACCACCAAUCAUUCGGGGAAAUCAGCACUUAGCAACCCCUUGGGGGCUUAGCAACCCCCUUCACAUUUAAAGAUAUGGUGGAAUCAGCACUUAGCAACCACUAAUGAAUCGGGGAAUCAGCACUUAGCAACCCCUUGGGGGAAUCAGCACUUAGCAACCCCCUUUAUAUUUAAAGAUACGAUGGGAUCAGCACUUAGCAACCACCAAAGAGUCAGGGAAUCAGCACUUAGCAACCCCUUCAUAUUCAAUGUACUCUGGCUUAUUCCGAGUGUUCAACCGAAACCCAUAUUUUCAACACUUUACCGCAUUCCCCAAUUUAACCACAUUUUUAGGAUCUUGCCAAAUAUUUAUUCUAUGUUCUAUUAAAUACUAAAAUAUAUUGAAUAAUAUCAAAAUAAUGCAUUAAAUCACAUGUUUACUUGCCUCGGUGCAAAAUAUCGAAAUUUUGCAAUUUACUCCACUACCUUCUCUUUUCCCCGUUUGAGGUAGUCUUCUCGUCUUUAUUGAUCUAUAAUGGCAAAUUUAACUCAUUUAAUGUCCACAUUUAUUAAAAUAAUCCACCACCCAACUUUUUGAAAAAUUACAAUAUUGCCCUCAAACUUUUGCAUAAUUACACUUUUGUCCCCAAGCUCGGAAAUUAAACUUCAUCACUUAUUCUUAUGUUUUAUGACAUGCUGAACAUUUUUCCCUUCUAUGGCAACAUCAAAUUCUCACUCUAACACAUACUUUUGAACAUUAAAUAUUUUUACCGAUUAUGUUAAUUUAUCCGUUUUCGUUUAAAAUCGCUUAGCAAAAGUUGUUUAACAUAAUUUCUAGCUUCAUAUUCCACCAUAAAACAGCAAAAUAAACACUUUUCACCUAUGGGUAUUUUUCCAAAUAUAAACCCUAACAUGAAUUAACAGUAAAAUAAGCUAAACCGAGCUACGAGGAUUUCAAAAAUGCAAAGAACAUUAAAAACGGGGCUAGGAUGCACUUACUAUGAGCUUGAGAAAGCAAAGAAACCCUAGCUAUGGUGUCUUCCAAAUUUUGGCAGCAACUUAAUGAAGAUGGACAUCAUUUUUCCAUCUUUUUCCCAUUUUAAUUCUAUUUAUUUACUAAUGACCAAAAUGCCCCCAUUUAAAAAAUCUAUUUCACCCAUUUCUUAUGUCUAUUUUUGUCCAUCAAUUAACUAAUGGUCUAAUUACCACAUAAGGACCCCCAAUUUAGAAUUUCAUAACAAUUUGACACUUCCAACAUGUAGAACUCAACUUUUGCACUUUUUACAAUUUAGUCCUUUUGACUAAAUUGAGUGCCCAAACGUCGAAAUUUUUGAACGAAAUUUUUAUGAAAGUUUUACGUAAAAUUGUAGAGCAUAAAAAUAUAAUAAUAGUCAUAUUUUCCCUUGUCGUAUUUGUGGUCCCAAAACCACUGUUCUUACUAGGCCCAGAAUCAGGCUGUUACAAUUAUUUUAUGGGUUAAUUGCAAAAAACAUCCUGAAAUUAUUGUCAAAACUUUAAAAUGUUCUAAUUGAGUCUUCAAAGUAUCGUUUGAUAUCAAUUAGAUCUUUCAUCAGUCUUCCUAUUGAUUUAAGGGUUAAAUGCUAGUAGUUCAAACAUUUCUUGGCUCGAUUAGCUUAAUCCAUGAUUAGGUUAGGCUUGAGUUUAGUUUCUUUAACCUAACUUUAAAAAUUUUUAAUAUAUAAAAAACUAAAAAAUAUAUUUUAAUUUUUUAAAUUAUGAAAUGGAUCAUUUGGAGGGGUCGAGCUUCGGUCUACAAAUUUUUUGGAAUCAAGCCUAGUCUUGGUACAGCCAAUAAACACCAUUAUUCGAACAUGACAUGAUGUAUUUUUAAAAACGCAUAAAUCAAAGUGUAAAUAUAUUACUUACUAAUUGACUUGUUAAAAAAACCCAGAAAAUGGCAUUAAAAUUUAAGAAAGUUAUUUCCUUUAUUUUUUUCUUUAACACGUGAGAUUCAAACAAAUUCUGUAGUAGAUACUCACAGUGGUAGAGCUUAGUAGAGACCCAAGGGGCCAUACCCCCAUAAAAUGGUAAAUUUUUAAUUUAGGUCUUUUAUAAUGAUGCGGUCGUUGAAAGCACCAAAAAUAUUCUAUCCCUAAUAAAUAAUGAAAAACAAUAGUAAAAGGGAAGUAGGGUCAAAUCCUCAGGGACUGGACUUGCAAAAUAUCUUGUUCCGUGAAAUCCCAAGCAGAGUCUUGCCCAAGACAACCUGCGUUCCUGAAAAAAAAAUACUAGAAUUAAAUUAUUGGAUCUAGAAACGAAAAAUAAAAUAAAAACAGAAUUAAGAAUAUUGAAUUGAAAAUUCGAGAAAUUAAAAAUAGAGUUAAGAGAAAGAAAAUUCUUCUGGGAGAUUCCAGCCUCCAGUUGUCUCGUUCUGCCUUGGUUUCAAUGCUCGGCUUUUAGAUGAUCCUUCCCAAACCGAAUAAGCCAGUUAUAGUGGAAGAGGAAGCCUACGACCACCAGCUCCAAGGAUUUAGACUUACAAUUUAGUGGAACCUGACUCUAGACAACAAUCGCUUCUGUGGGAUCGUCUUAUGCUAGAUCAACGCUUCUCAAUGGCGAAUCCCACGGCAUUUUGUCUCUUGGGCUCACCAACCUCUGACGCAGUAAGAUAACGAACCGACUGUGCAACCUUCCCAAAACAUACAAAGCGACCGUCUUUGAAUACGUUGAAAAACUUACUUCUUAAGGGACUUGGACGGAAGCGUCAGCUCCGUAGUGCGGAGAAACGAUGAAUACUCAGCGAGGAGGCUAAGUACGGAUUCUAAGCCUCAUGAACCCUUUUGGGGAUUUUUGACAACUUUCGGCUAGAUGGGUUUAGUGGCUCAUGGUUGUGGUAGAAAAGAAAAUAAAUAAAAUAAAAAUAAAGAUUUUAUUGAAAAGAAAUAUGAAAAGAAUAAAAGCCUAGACUUUUGGGGAGAGAGUGUUUACAGAAAAAGAAAAGAUGAGAUCCUCUUUUGAGUCACUUCACCCCCUAUUUAUAGUGCUAGGGGAGAUAUUCUAAUCCUACUUAAAUUCCUAAAAGAUAAAUACAUUUAAUUAAAGAUAAAAUAAAGAUAAAAUAAAAUCCUAAAAAUAAUCCUUAAUAAUUAUCUCAAUAUUAAUUAUCCUAAUAUAAUUAAAAUAGAGUUUAAUAGAACAAAAUAUCUUCUUUUUGCAUUUCAACCCUUGUGUCCUCCAUCCUUGCACUUUUGGCACCAACUUUUCCUUGUGUCCAACAUUGGCCCAUUUUAUCUCUAAAUUCACGCUUUUGGCCCUUAAUUUCACUUUUGCCUCAAAUUUAGUCCCUAUGAGAUAAAAGAUCAUAAAUAGCUCAAAUUAGCAGGAUCAUACUUAGAAUAAAUACAUAAUUAAUACAUAAAAAUACGUUAUUCUAGAGUGUUAUCAAAUCCCCCUACUUAGCCCAUGCUUGCCCUCAAGUAUGGUUCUUAUCUACUGUGAAAGUUAGAUUCUGCCAUAAAAGAAAUGCCACUUCCAAAGUUUUAUAGAAAUCAGUCAAAAAUGCAUAUGAAAAAUAAAGAAAACCCUAAGCUUGCUUUAAGUAAAAUAGAAAAAGUUUUCCAAUUAAUACACACAAAAAUUAGAAUCGACUUUAAUUAUUUAAUGAAAAUUAGGUAAAUUACCAAACCUACCAAGACACCCUAUUUGUUUCCUCAUUUAGUCCCCAAAUUAUUAUUAUUUCAUUUUUUUAGGAAUAUACUGAACCUUUUGACGNNNNNNNNNNNNNNNNNNNNNNNNNNNNNNNNNNNNNNNNNNNNNNNNNNNNNNNNNNNNNNNNNNNNNNNNNNNNNNNNNNNNNNNNNNNNNNNNNNNNAAUUUAUUAUAUUUUUUUCUUAAGAACACAUCGAACCUUUUGACACGAAGAGAGAUGACAGCCAAGCACCCCACCCCGGUUACUCAGCCCAACAUGUUCUUAAAGAUUAAUUCCGGUUAGCGGAGUUUUAUCUAACACGUCACACAACCUUUUGACGCGAAAUAGGAUGACAACCCAAGCACCCUACCCCGGUUACUCAGUCAGUCACAUUUUUAAGCUGCACUCAUAACCACGGAAACAUUAAACGACAUUUUAAUAAUAACUUUUUUUAUGAGGACUUUAGAGAAAAAAAUAAUCAAGUGUCAAAAAUAAGUUUCAGUAAUUACCUUAAUAAUCAUCAACAUAUUUUAGCAUGCAAACAUAUUAAGUGUCCACUUUGUAUUUAAACUUGAUCAAUUUUACGAAAAGCAAGAUAAAGUUAACUUUAUGAAUCACAAUUAUUUUUAGUCUAGUAAGAAUAAAACAGUGGAGAUGGCAUCAAUUAUGGAAAAUUCGUAAUUUUCUCAGAAAACAAGAAUCAUGCUUGUAGGUCAAACAGUAGGCAAUUCUUGGUAAAAAUCUUGGGCAUGAAAAGAGGCAAGAGAUUUCAAAAAAAAUAUGGACAAAAUAAAGCCUCAAGCAGCAACACCAGCAACAAUAACCAAAAUCACAACAGAAAAUGAUAGUAAUAACGAAGAGUACCUCUCCCUACUGAAAACACAUUGUCCUCAAUGUGGAUGAAAAGAAAUAAAUAGGUAGAAAAUUUUAGAAAAACUCCCCGUGUUGUUACUGUCGAUCGCAUAUGAUGGCAAUGAACUUGGUCAGUUGCUGGCCAAAGGUUUCAAGUCAGGCCUCAAUGCGUUCUAAAUUUUCGCUCUGUUUUAUCUAAGCAAAAGAAGAAAAAAAUUAUUAAUAUCCAAAUAAGUAAUAAAUAAUAAAAUAAAAUAAAGUAAAGAAAAAAAUAACAAAUAAUAAAAAUAAAAAUUGGGUUGCCUCCCAACAAGCGCUUGUUUAACGUCGUUAGCUCGACGCCGUUAUUGGUUCUAUGGUGGUUCCAAAUGGAUUUCUUCAACCGUGUGGGCUUGAAAAUUCUCUAAAACGGCUUCAACCGCUGGCCAUUGACUACGAACUGCUUUCCAAAUUCUUCACUCUCUAUUUCAACCGCUCUAUGUGUGAACACUUUAGUAACAGUAAAAGGUCCUUGCCAUCGUGAUCGAAGCUUACCUGGGAAUAACUUUAACACGGAGUUAUAAAGUAAAACUUUUUGUCUUACUGAAAAAUUCUUCUGAGCAAUUCUCUUAUCAUGAAACAACUUUGUCUUAUCUUUAUAAAUGUGAGCAUUUUCGUAGGCAUCAUUACGAAUUUCUUCUAACUCUUGGAUGUCUAAUUUCCUUGCCUGUUCUGCGGGUUCUAACUCCAACUCUGGUGCCUGUAUAACAGAAGGUAACAAUUUAGUAUUUGGAGAUAAUAAUUCAUUAACAAAUUCAAUUUCAUCAAGUUCAGAAUUAUCUCCAUAAACUGACUCAAAAUUCUCUUUCACCAAAGAGUCAAUUAUGUCGAUACAAUUUACGCUCAAGAUUUCGCUUGGAUGGCUAAUGGCGUUGUAGACAUUAAACUUUACGAUCUCCCCAUCAAACUCUAUUGUGAGAGUUCCACUUCGAACAUCAAUUUUAGUACUAGCUGUACUAAGGAACGGUCGACCCAACAGGAGAUCUGAAGAUCCAGAAGUGCUAUCCUCCUCCAUUUUGAUCACAUAAAAAUCUGCAGGGAAAAUAAGUUCGUUAACUUUUACCAGAACGUCCUCGAGGACUCCUUCUGGAUGCACAACAGUCCUGUCCGCCAAUUGAAUGAUAACACCUGUUUUUGUCAAAAAAUCCGCGUUAAGUGAUUCAUAAAUAGAAUACGACAUUACAUUUAUAGAAGCCCCUAGAUCACACAUGGCCUUCUUAAUUCCCAGAUGGCCUAUUUUGCAUGGUAUUGCAAACAUGCCCCUACCCUUGCAUUUUGCCGGCAUUUUCCGCUGUAACACUGCGGAUACAUUCUCACCAACAUUCACCCUUUCAUUACCUGUUAAUUUUCGCUUGUUGGUGCAAAGUUCUUUAAGAAAUUUAGCAUACCGCGGUAUUUUCUUGAUGGCGUCCAACAGCGGAAUAUUGAUCUCGACAUUCCUAAAUGUUUCAAGAAUUUCCUUGUCCUCUUUACCUCUGGAAAUGGAGGUUGAAUUUUAGGUAAUUGGGGUUUUGGUUGGACUUUUCGUCUUUUUCAAGUUUUCCUGGGCAAUUUCUUGGGCAAGAUUCAUGUCAGGAAUUGGUUCCAGUACAUUUCCGCUUCACAACGUCACUGCAUUUGCAUUUUGUCUAGGAUUUAGUUCUGUUUGUGACGGUAGCUUCCCUUGAGAGGUCAAUUUCUCGCUCGAUGUGGUCAACUCUCUGAUGGACGCCUCGGUUUUCUAUUGAAAAUACUUCAUCUCUUUUUGAAAAUUAAGAUUUUGCUGUUGAAAAUCAAGAACAUUAGCUGCUAACUUAUUGACCAUGGUUUCUAGAAAAUUACCUGAACCUUGCGACUGUUGCGGAAACCGAUUUUGGUAUGGCUAGUUAUUUCGUAGAUUGGCCCCAUAACUCAAGUUAGGAUGGUCCCUCCAUCCUGGGUUGUAGGUAUUAGCGUAGGGGUCGUACUGCCUUUGUGGUGGCCCAGGGAAAUUUCCAACAGCAUCCAGAUGGGCUGUGGUAUCAUUAUACAAACUGGGACAUGCAUCAGUUGCGUGAUCAGGUGCAGCACAUAUUCCGCAUAAUCGAGCUGUCUUCGCUUUUUCUGCAAUAAGAGAAUUCAUCAUAUUAGUAAGUCUAUCAACUUUAUCCUCUAAAGUUGAAUUACUUAGCUGGUGAACCCUUCUAGGGAGUUCAGUAUUGGCUCGGAACUGCUGAGAAUUUGUAGCCAUAGUGGAGAUCAAGUCUCUCGCUUGUUGGGGAGUCAUGUUGACCAAUGCUCCUCCACUAGCAGCGUCUACCAUAUUCAUCUCCAUGGGCUUCAAACCUUCGUAAAAGUAUUGGAGUAGAUAUUGCUCUGUUAUACCAUGUUGUGGACAGCUUGCACACAACUUUUUAAAUCGCUCCCAAUAAUCGUAAAGGGACUCAGCUUCUUUUUGUCUUAUUCCAACGAUCUCUCUUCUUAGCUCAGUUUCUCGAGAUGCUGGAAAAAACCUAUUCAGAAACAAACAAGAUAGAUCAGUCCAAGUUGUAAUAGAUCCAGGGGGUAAAUAAAAUAACCAUUCCUUAGAAAAAUCUGCUAGGGAGAGAGGGAAAGCACGCAAUUUAAUUUGAUCCUCAGUUACCCUCUGAGGUUUCAUGCUAAGACAAACCAUAUGAAAUUCUUUCAGAUGCUUGUGGGGAUUUUCAUUUUGCAACCCACGAUAAGUUGGCAAUAAUUGGAUUAAACCUGACUUCAACUCAAAAUCAGUAUCCAUAGUAGGAAACGCGAUGCACAAUGGCAGUUGUUCUGUCGGAGCUUCGGCCACUUGCCGAAUCGUUUGAGCCAUUGGUUAGUGUGCUAGAUUCGGGUUUUCGUUAACCCUAGCGUUAAGCACUUCUUCUGGUGAGUCGACUUCUACUUUUUUGCUUUCAAGUGUUCGAGUAGGGUUUUCGUUAACCCUAGACUCAGCUUCGUCGUCGACUUCAAUUUCUGGCGGUGGGUUACUUUGAGUUCCAACCACCGCUGACUGCUUUUUCCGUAACUUUGUCUCUUUGCGAUUGGCUCUAGCAGUCUUCUCAAUUUCUGAAUCGGAUGCAAGAGUACCUGGAGCAAAUCUGGUCAUAAGAAACAAAAAACAAGAUUAGUACGUUGCCAAUCCCCGGCAACUGCGCCAAAAUUUGAUGCAGUCGUUGAAAGCACCAAAAAUAUCAUAUCCCUAAUAAAUAAUGAAAAACAAUAGUAAAAGGGAAGUAGGGUCAAAUCCUUAGGGACUAGACUUGCGAAAUAUCUUGUUCCGUGAAAUCCCAAACAGAGUCUUGCCCAAGACAACCUGUCUCUUGGGCUCGCCAACCUCUGACGCAGUAAGCUAACGAACCGACUGUGCAACCUUCCCAAAACAUAUAAAGCGGCUGUCUUUGCAUACGUUGAAAAACUUACUUCUUAAGGGACUUGGACGGAAGCGUCAAAUAAAAUAAAAAUAAAGAUUUUAUUGAAAAGAAAUAUGAAAAGAACAAAAGCCUAGACUUUUAGGGAGAGAGUGUUUACAGAAAAAGAAAAGAUGGGAUCCUCUUUUGAGUCACUUCACCCCCUAUUUAUAGUGCUAGGGGAGAUAUUCUAAUCCUACUUAAAUUCCUAAAAGAUAAAUACAUUUAAUUAAAGACAAAUAAAGAUAAAAUAAAAUCCUAAAAAUAAUCCUUAAUAAUUAUCUCAAUAUUAAUUAUCCUAAUAUAAUUAAAAUAGAGUUUAAUAGAAUAAAAUCUCUUCUUUUUGCAUUUUAACCUUGUGUCCUCCAUCCUUGCACUUUUGGCACCAACUUUUCCUUGUGUCGCAUAUUGGCCCAUUUUAUCUCUAAAUUCACGCUUUUGUCCCUUAAUUUCACUUUUGCCUCAAAUUUAGUCCCUAUGAGAUAAAAGAUCAUAAAUAGCUCAAAUUAGCAGGAUCAUACUCAGAAUAAAUACAUAAUUAAUACAUAAAAAUACGUUAUUCUAGAGUGUUAUCAUAUAAUUUAUAAAAUUUUAAAUUAGUAAUGAUAAAAUUACACUUUGACACCCCAAAAUGAUAAAAGUUUGAUUUAGCAUUUUAAAAAUUAUAAAGAUAUACGCUAUUAAAAUGAUGAAAUUACAUUUUUACUAUUGUAAAAAUAUACAAUUUAAUUCUGCCCCCCCAAAAAAAAUUUUAGCUCCGCCAUUAAAUACACACAUGUUUACAAUUUGAUACAUAUGUUUUAAAUAUGUUCAACAUCAAAUUUAAGUUGUCAUCUAACAUUCAAAUGAAUAGUGAGGAUCUAUUUAAAAUUUGAAUCAUAGUUCGAGGAUAUCUACAUGAAUUAACCCUUCACUUUAGCCCACCAAUAUCAAAUUUUUCCACCAAAUUGCUUGAAUUUGCUUUUGGCAAUUCAUAAAAGUAAGGAAAAUGUGAGGAGCUGGCAGAGGGAAAUAUGAUUAGUGUUUUUCUUUAGGAUAGUUAUUGAACAUUAAUAAUUUUGGUGGAGAUUGUGGUGGUAACUAAAUAAAAAGUUUGGUCAAUUUUUGUUGUCUCUCAAGACACUAUAAUUGAUGUUUCUGGACAUACUAAACUUAGGGGGAGAUGUCAAAUUCGUUAUUGUUUUUGAUAAUUUAAUACCUCUUAUUUUAUCAUUCGUCUCAUUUCAUUAUGAAUGUAUUAUAUUAAAAAUCAUUAUCAUUUUUAUAGAUAUUAAAUAUAUCAAUUCUCGUCUUACCUCAUCUAAUUUUAAUUUGAUUUUUAUCAAAUACUUUUAAUAAUUAAUUAUAUAUAUAAAGAUAAAAUGAUAAUUUUAAUAACAGACAAAAUAAACCCUCCAUCCCUAUCCCUCAUUUCACUUCGCUCCCCCCUCAAAAAUCUGCUCCAUUAAAAAGAUUGAUUCGAAAUUCAUUGGGUGGUUCGAGUUUUGUUAUUCUUCUAUGUAUAAUGCAAUUACAAAUAAUAUACGUUCUAGUAGUUAUAAUUAGAAUGAAACAAAUACAAAACAUGAUCAAACUGAAAUCUAGAAUAUAUCCCCACAAUGCCUACACAUAGUGGACUUAAAUUCAAAGUAAUUUUGAGAGAGAAGUUAUAAGUAAUUAUGCGUGGUGGGGCUUAAAUAUGGGUACGCAAAAACCUAAAUUAUCCUUGUUAUAGUUUUUUUCUAAAUACUAAUAAAAUUUUGAGUUGAAUCACUUUAACUUUUGCAAUGAAAUUGAUUAUCUUUUGGCUUAAUACAGGGAGCUCUUCUGCAUUUUUUAAAUUCAUAACGAAAAUUUUAAUUAUUAACCUUUACAUUUUAAUUAUUAAUAAUAAUAAUUUUAUACACGGUCGCCCACAUUGUAAUUUAUCGUGUACAUUAUGCUUUUUUAUUUUUUAAAACUUUUUUUGAAUAUUUUUAUGAUUUUUAAAGUUAUAAGUUGAUAUAUCAUAUAAAACAAAUAGUGUAAUGUCAACAUGAAAUAUACAUCAAUUGUCAUGCAAGUUGCCAUGUGCCAUGAUACAACCUUGUAGGGCCAUUACAGCGUAGGAUGCCAAGCCACCCAUGCAGAGGAACUUGAGAAAGGGUAGAACUUUUGUAUUUAGGAAAGUGUCUUCAUUUCAAACAUCUUUAUGUUUCUUGGUAGGCAUUUCUAUAAAAACAUUUUAGCAUCUUUGUUGGGGGUAGACAGUCAACAGUUGUUGGACUGAGCUACAAGUUAAGGUAUUACUAGGUCACCAUCGAGGGCUACUCCUACGACCCAAUAAUGGUGUGGGUAAGUGAGUCCUUUUAUAACCCUUUGUAAUGUUUUUAAUAUAAUAAACCCAUUUUUCCCUCCAGGGAAAUGUGAGGUAAUGUGAGGGCAUUUGCUAUGCCCCACGGAAUAGAAUUAUGGCUUGAGACUAACUUGUGGCAUGCUUGUCUUUAUAAACUAUUGAGAUUAUUGGCUGACUUGAGUAGAAGCGUCCAUCCAAGUGCCUCGCAGGCUUACAACCGUAUGAACAAAGUUGAGUCUAUGAUAUGUGGUAUCCAAGCUAGCAAAAUCACAUCGUUGAGAACUAAAAAAUGGUGAUGGCACUAGGCAAUGUGUUAAAAGAUCCCCAUACAAGUGGCUCGAAUGACCACCACAGAAUUGAGGAAUUUGAGGCCAUGGUGGCCACCUCAAAAGCCCAUAUGGUCAUGAGUAAUCAAGCAUGAAAGAUUGAGAUAGCCUAACGGAAGCAAUCUGAUACGGUGAACACCUUUAGUAAGGAAGCGAUGGAUGUUUUGAAUGCAAUAAAGUAGAGAUUUGAGGAAUCAAUAAAAAAUCUUAGCAAUAAUACAAGAGAUACUAUUGGGGCCAUCAAACAGGAGUUCAAUGAACUCAAGGCCCAGGUGAAUGUAAUUCAGAUGAUUGUGAGCUUAGUAGGUUUUUGCUCCACUAAUAGAGGAAAAAAAGGCCAAUGGUCUAGAAUCGCAUUGGUUUGAAGGAGCGCGGGCUGCCAAGGAGCUUGAGAACUUCCUAUUUGAUAUGGAAUAAUACUUCAAGGUGAUGCGCACUAACUUGAAUGAAUACAAGGUAGUAAUGGUUACGAUGCAUCUAAUGAUAGAUGCCAAGUUGUAGUGGUGUUCUAAAUUUAUCGAUGGUAAGUGCUCAUAAAAAAAUGGAAUAGUUUGAGACAAGAAUUGAAGAGUCAAUUCUUCCCUAAAAAUAUGGAAUACAUGGCUAGGUAGCAGCUUAAAGAGCUGGCUCAAAUGAGGAAUGUGUGAGACUAUGUGAAAAUUUUUUCCAUCUUGAUGCUAGAUAUCAAAGAAAUGUUAGAGAUGGACAAGAUUUUUACUUUCUUGAGGGGUUCAAUCCUUGGGCUAGAACAUAAAUACAAAGGCAGAAGGUACAAGAUGGGGCUGCCACAAUGGCUGUAAUUGAGCGUCUUAAUGAUUAUAGGGACGACUCUUCGAAACGCAAGACGCCCUAUUCUAGUGGUAGUAGUUCGAGUUAGGGCAAUAUGGGAAAGGUGGCAAAAACUCAUUGCCCCUCAAAUAGAGGCAAAUAUAUAAGGCCACCCUAUAAAUAUUCCACUAAACUGAGAUCCAACAAUGCCCCUAAUGCCAAACUAAGACAACUUAUUGCUUGUUUCUUGUGUCAAAGACCUUAUCGAGUAGUUGAAUAUCUAUAUAGGGGUGAUUUGAAUGCCUUAGUGGCUUCCUCCCAAGAUAGAACUCAAGCAAAGCAAUCCAAUGAUGACAAUGAGCUUAAGUUGACUAGGAUGGGCUCGAUACAAUUCUUCAAUACCUUACAUUCAUAAUUGAAGAAGUUAAAGAAGGAACCAGUGAGGGGCCUCAUGUUUGUGGAUGUGAUAUUGAAUGGUAAAGCAACAAAAGCCAUGGUGGACACAGGUGUAGCCGAUAGUUUUAUUACGUUUGAUAAGGCAAAAAGAUGUAGGUUGAAGGUCACUAAGGACUUUGGGCAAAUGAAAGCGGUAUUUACUCUAUUUCUUUAUUGAUUUAUAGAAGCUCUAAGAAUCUGAUAAUGAAAUUAGAGUCAUGGGAAUAAAGCGUGAACUUCACAAUUUCCCUUAUGGGAUGAUUUUAAUGUUGUCUUAGGAUUGGAUUACAUGGUUACUACACAGGUGAUCUCGAUUCCCACUACAAGAUGCUUGAUGUUCUUGGAGAAACACACAUAUAUAGUGCCUGCUACAAUUCUUCUAAUAAGUGGGAAGAUCUUGUCAGUUAUACAGUUUAAGAAAUGGGUAAGAAUAGGUGAACUUUCAUUUUCUUGACAAUCUCUAAAGCGGGAAUUGAAGUGACUUCCUUUCCAAGUGUAGUGGAAAAGGUAUUGAAAGAUUUCAAAGCCAUGAUACCAGAUCAGUUCUCGAAAGUAUUACCACCAAGGAGAACUAUGAACGAUAAGAUUUAGUUAAUUUUAAGGGUGAAGCCACCAGCAAUAUGCUCAUAUGGGAUAACUCCACAAGAAUUAGCUAAGUUGAGGAAGCAAUUGGAUGAGCUGCUUUAAGCAAGUUUCAUUCGCCCUUGGAAGGCACCCUAUGGAGCCCUUGUUCUAUUCUAAAAGAAGUAUGAUGGGAGUUUGAGAUUAUAUUGACUACUGAGCCUUGUACAAAGUGACUGUGAAGAACAAGUACUUAAUCCCUUUGAUUGUCGACUUAUUUGAUCAGUUGAGCCAUGCCAAGUAUUUCACAAAGCUUGAUCUUAGAUCGGGCUACCAUCAAGUCAGAAUUGCGGAGGAAGAUGAGCCAAAGACAGCAUGUGUAACAUGGUAUAGAGCUUUCAAAUUUCUUAUUAUGCCAUUUGGACUAUCCAAUGCUCCUGCUACAUUUUGUACAUUAAUGAACCAAGUAAUUCAUGAUUACUUGGACAAGUUCGUGGUCAUUUAUCUCGAUGAUAUAAUAGUCUAUAGUCUUUCGUUGGAGGAACAUUUGAGGCAUUUGCGAUUGGUAUUUGUAUUAGAAAAAAUCUGGUUCAAAAACGGUAUUCUCUACUAUUCUCGUACCAUGAACUACUUUGAAUGUUGGCUCAUACAACUACGAAUCAAACACAGAACCAUAAAUAAUUUUUGUACUUUCAGUAGAAAAGUAAAUUUCUCUCUUAUAGAAACUGGUAGAAUUGUUAUUCUUGAAAAAUAUAAUUUAUACUUAGAAAUAAAUUCACUAUUUUCACUGGUUCCAACUAUUUAUAGGAAGAGGAAGUGAAACCUUAGUUAAAUUAGUAGAAUGCAUUUAUUGCCUAUUUAAUAGAAGAAGAAAAAACCAAUCCCCUAGUUGAACUAGGAGAGAGGGGCGACUAAUUAGGUUUGUCUCCUCUUGUAUGUAUUAUGAUGGGGAUUCAAGUCUCUUUUGUAUUGGGUUCAAUUAUAUGUGUUUUCUAAACUUUUAACUCAACACUUUAUAACUUAAUUCAACUCAUGUAGUCACGAAGUCAUUCCACUAUAAUAUCAUGAUUGAUAGACUUCCUCACAACAAAGUCAAUGAAGACGUCAACAGAUUAAGUAGAGAGGGUGUCAUGAUCCAACCUUGUAAGUUCAUGACAGGGUAGAAUGCUAAAGGCCUACCCAUGUAUAGAGGCCAUGGCAAAGGGUAGAUUUUUUGUAUUUAGGAAAAUGUCUUUAUUGCAAACAUCUUUACGUUUCCUGGUAGUGUUCCUAUAAAACAUUUUAGCACCUUUGUAGGGGAUGGACAGUCAACAAUUGUUGGGCUGAGCCACUAGUUAAGGUAUGUGCUUGGUCACCAUUGAGGGUUUGCCCCUACGACCCAUCGGUGGUGUGGGUAAGUGGACCUUUUUAUAACUCAUUGUAAUGUUUUUAAUAUAAUAAACCCAUUUUUUCCUUUUGGAAAAUGUGAGGUAAUGUGAAGGCAUCCGCUAUGCCCCAUAGGGAUGAAUUGUGGCUUGAGGCUAACUUGUGGCAUGCUUGUCUUAACAAACUAUCGAGAUUGUUGGUUAACUUUAGUGAUAGCGUCCAUCCAAGUGCCUCGUGGGCUUGCAACCGAGGGAACAAAGUUGAGUAUGUGACAUCAUGCCAACAUCGUUAUUAGAUUAAUAUUCUGGUCAACAUUUCCAUUAAAGAGCAACAAUUUGACUUUUUUUUAUAUGUUAAUAGUCAAAUUUAGCUAAAAAAGAGUGACAAUCAAAUUAACAAAAAUUGUAAACCUUGAGAACUAAAUUUAUCACUUUCAUUAUCUUAUGCAUUUUUUAAAUAAUAAACUUAAAAAAAUAUCGAACCCAAAAGAAAGAAAAACUUAGAAAAUAUUUGUAUAGUGGGAGAUUCAUUGAUUUUAUCAUUUUAUAUGUUUUCUUUUCAAACAACCUUUUCCUAUAGUAGUAUAAAACUUAAAUACAAUGGUGAAAUCAGAAAAAAAAUUUAAGGAGGUGAAAUUAAAUUGUAUAUUUUUACGAUAGUAAAAAUGAAAUUUCAUCAUUUUAAUAUCAAUAUAUUUAUAAUUUUUAAAAAAUUAAAUCAAUUUUUUAUCAUUUUAAGGGGGCCAAAGUGCAAUUUUACCUUUGUUAAUUUAAAUUUUUUAUACAUUUUAAAGGGGCCUAGUGAAAAAAAAUUCAUUUUAAGGGGGUCAGGACCUCUGUCAGCCCCCCUUGAUUACGCCCCUGCUUAAAUAUACAUUUGAUCCUUCAAUUUGACAUUUUCUCUCAAAUUGGUAUUAUGGUUUUUUAUCUCAACUUGAUACCCAAAAUAUUUUUUCGUCCACAACUCCGGUACAUUUUUGUAAUGCUAUUAAAUCUAAAACAAAGGACACCACAUAUUAUAGUGAUGACAUCAUAAUGAUAUCAUCAUUCGAAAACUAUAAAAAUUUAAAAAUAUGAAAAUUUUAAAAAAUAUAAACAAAAAUUCCAAAAAUAAAUAUAUACAUCUAAAUUUUAAAUUUCUAAAUAUAUAUAAAUUAAAAAAAAAUCUAAAAAGCAUCUCUAAACCCAUAAAUAUCAACCCCUCAAAAAAAAAAUUCAACAUUUAUCUUCUUUCCACCAUCGUCUUCUUAUUCAAUUUAGUUAAAAAAUUUCUAAAGCUAAGAGCCUUCACCCUCACAAUUUAAUUUAACCAACCAUCCACCCUCACUAUCCCUACUCUCAUAAAUCAAUUUGGAUUUAUUUUCCAAAAAGAAUUAUAAACCCCCACAAAGUUGUAAAUUUGAAAACCAAUGAACUACACGAUUUGAUUAUUUGAAUUGUUUUAUUUUAUCCUAUUAGAAUUGGUUUAUUUUUUUAUUUUAUCCGAUUUUUUUUAUAACAAUGCAAAAAAAAAUGACCUUAGUAAUUUGAUUUUCUAAUUUUGUAUAGUAGCAACCCAAAACAUCAAUUCUAUAACCAUGAAAGUUUUGGAAGGGUGGAAUUUGGUGAAGAAUUCUAGGGGUAGGCAGUAGGGAGUUGAAGAUCAACUUUCUUUUGACUGGAUUUUUAUUCCAAUAGAAAAAGGAGGGUUUCAAGGCAUGGAAUUGGAAAUCUAGGAAAAAGAAAGUCAAGCUUGCAUGAAUGAUCUUGAUGGAAGGAGAGUAGAAAGAGAUGAAGAGAAGUAAACAAACACAUUAUCUAAAACUAAGUCAAUUGAAUCUUAAUUCGAUUGGUAUGAGCAUUGUUGUUAAUGCAAGAAGACAUAGAUUUGAGUGCAAUAAAAUACAUUAUACUCCUAUUUAUGUGUUGGAAAAAAAAUUGGGACAAAAAAAAAGAGUAAGUACCAACUUAAAAAAAUAUCAAAUUCAGGGGUGAAAUGUUAAGCCUUAAAAAGAAACACUGAGCCCAAAGCUUUUUCCAACCCAGAAAACACGACGUUCUUGUACCUAAAACCAAUCUAUCACUGUUUUUUUAUAUUGCCUUGAAAGCUGUUCUUUAUGUCCCCUCGAGCAAUUAAGUAUCCAUAGAUUAUGAUGAUAAUUCAUACAUGUAAUGUGACUGUUUAUGUGCUUAUCCAUUAAAUAUUUCACUUUGAUUUUCGAUAAAACAGCUGUUUCAUAAACUCAAACAGAAAGGGAAGAAAACUAGCAGUACAGCAUGAUGAAAGACGAGCUUCUUCCUUUUUUAUAACAAAAUACCCCCACCAAUCCUACUAUACACAAGAAAAGGAAAAAGAAAAAAACACCAAACGUUUAAACACCUUAAAGUUAGAGCAAAAAGAACACUAAGUAGUAAUAAACCUACCAUCCCUUUGGAACAUUAACAUCCUUAAAUGCUAAGAAGAUCAGGUGGUGUUGAUUUAGGUGCUGGUGGCUGUUGCUGGUCUUUUGUGAUUGUUGUUGUAGGUGGGUCUAGGGUUGUGCACGGUGCCGGUGAUGUUGUGGACUCUGAGUUUGGUGGUUUUGGGAGUUCGGUUAGGAUUUGAACCACUUCCCUCAUUGUCGGUCUCUCUACGGCCUGUUCUUCAACACAGAGCAUCGCAACGUAGAAAACAUGCAUCACUUCGUGGAGAGGAACCGAUGGGAGUCUGGGAUCGAGGACUUUAAGGACGCCUUCUUUGUUUGAAUCUGUCAUCUUUCGAACCCAUUGAACAAUGUCGACACCGUCACCGAACUCACCUACUGGUUUUCUGCCACAGACGAGUUCUAACAGGACUACACCAAAGCUAUACACAUCACUCUUCUCGUCUACCUUCAGCGUGUAGGCAUAUUCUGCGAAAAAGUACAGAGGAAUUAUAAGAAAUUCUAAGGGAAAUUAGUACUGGACAGUUAGAACCACCAAAUUUUGGUUGGUCAAACUAUAACUAUAUUGAUGUACUUUGAAACCUGCAUAUAUUGAUUGAAAUGAAGAAAAUAUCAACUUCAAUAGCACCAAAUCAUGGUAACACACAGUCAAAACCAAAGUACAGUAAAAAUUAUUGGUAGUAUUAAUGCAUAAUCCGUGAUCCAAUCCCAAAUCAUUAAAAAAGUCAAAUGAAACAUCAAGCAAGUUCUUUGAACCCUUCUGUUAAAAAGAAUAGUAUAUACCUGGAGCAAUGUAUCCGUAUGAACCGGCUAUGGCGGACAUGCAUUCGGAAGUGCCUGAAUCUUGCAGGAAUUUAGCAAGGCCGAAAUCAGCAACGUGAGCUUCAAAAUCUGAGUUGAGGAGAAUAUUGUUCGAUUUCACGUCCCGGUGGACUAUCAAAGGGGAACAAUCAUGAUGAAGGUAGCAUAGUCCCUUAGCAGCCUCGACAGCGAUCUUGUAUCUGGUAUCCCAGUGCAAAUGACCCCCUUUCUUGCCAUGAAGAACCUCUCCUAAACUCCCAUUAGGCAUAUACUCAUAAACCAAGAGAUUGGUUUCAUGGUUUGAGCAAAAACCCAACAAUCUCACAAUAUGCCUGUGCCUAAUCCUCCCCAGAGUUUGUAUCUCAGCAUUGAAUCCGUGGUCAUGGGAAGACCCUCGGCUCAUUGCCGGUAACCUUUUAACGGCAACAUGGUCACCACUAGGCAUGGAUCCCUUGUACACAAUCCCAGCACCUCCUUUGCCUAUAAUAUUAUCCUCCUUCAAACAAUCCAAAACAUCAUCACAAGUGAAAUCCAAGCGCUGGAACGCAGUUAACUUCCAAGCCCGAGAAUCACUCGCUUUCUUCAAGGACCGUGCUUUGAUUAUAGCCGCAACUGCAAACAAGAUGGAGAAGACAAGCAGGCCUAUAACGAGCAAAAGUUUCAAAGAUGCAGAGAGUCCACCUUUAAUAUGAGUUUCAUGAGUUCCUUUAGCAACCCCAUCUUUGCAAGGCCCCAAAUAAGGACCACACAGCUCAGGGUUCCCCAAAAAUGAGGUGUAGUUGAAGUAACUAAACUGACCACUGCCAGGAACCAAACCGGAGAGAUUGUUAUAAGAGAAAUCGACUGAAGUUAAGCUUUGCAUAGUGGAUAUUGAAGAAGGGAUGCUACCCAGGAGAUGAUUUCUCGACAGAUUCAGGUAGUUUAAUAUCCUCAUACUUGUGAUCUCAGUCGGAAUUCGACCUGAAAGCUCGUUUCCACUAAGAUCAACAAAGGUUAACAGCUUGCAUUUGCAAAUUUCUGGUGGGAUCAAUCCUGACAACUUGUUAUGACUGAAAUCAAUCUUUGAAAGUUGCUGCAACUUUCCAAUCUCAGCUGGGAUUGGACCCGAAAACUUGUUGCCAUCUAGA
rnacentral:lncRNA from 1 species